GUUUUAAUUUGCAUUUCUUUGAUUAUGACCUAGAGUCCUUGUUUUUUAAAAACAUUCAUGUACCCUUUAUUAUUCUAUAAUGUCUUCUAUUAUGGAUAUUUAUGUACAUGUCUGAGAGCAGAGAUUAAAUCUUGAAUAUAUUUGUACACUUCAGGUCAUCUAACUUUUGUAUAGUUAGUAAUCGAUAAGUAUUUAUUGAAUAAAUAUGUAAUCAUUAUUACCACUAAUUAAGUAUUUCUUUUGUGCCAGGUACUAUAAUUAGCAUUUUAUAUACGUCGUUAUAUUUGUUUGACACCCAUAUGCUUUUAGAUAGCUAAAAGUAUUCCCCUUUUCCAGAUAUGGAAAUUAAAGCUCAGAGAGUUUAAGUGAUUAAGUUUUUCUACUAGGUUUUCAACUAGUGAAUGAAGGAGCUGAAAUUUAAAGUUUUAUCUCUUUUACUCCACAUUCUAUGCUCUUAAUUACCAUGCAAAAAGGGAGCAUGAAAGAAAAUUUGAGUUUAUUUUUUUUAAGGUGUCUGGUUGCAAGAAACAGAAACCAAUUUGAAAUGGCCUAAACAAAGAAGGGAGAAUUUAUUACAAGAAUUUAAGGGCCAUAUGAAGAGGGCAGUAUUUGGGGAACAAGAAAGAAGGGGAUCAGUUUUGGAAAGCCAUUAGGAAUCUGGGAUAUAUUCUCUUUCCAUCUUUGAUCUCUGCAUUUCUGCCUUGUGUCCAUGUUACUAUUCUCCUCUUGCUUUAGCUUUCUCUGCUGAUCUGCCCUUAUGACAGAAUACAGCAACUCCACAGCUCCCAAGCAUACAAAUUGUACCUAACAGCCAUGAAAAUAGACUGGCUGGCUUUCCUUUGGUCUGGAUUCCACAUUCCUGAGAAGAAAAAUGAUUAGCUCAAACUAGGUCAAAUUUUCCAAUUAACUAUAUCCAGAUGAGUAGGGAGUUACAGACUACCAACAGGAUUCCUAGAAGCCCAAGCUAUUACUUGGGGAGCCAUUUCCAGAGAAGGGAAUGGCUCAUGGGUUCAGUAGACCCUUCUAAAAGCAUCUAUCCCAGAGUUCCCAUCCAGGCAAUGCAGAGGCCCAGAGCAACGUAUAAAGGAGGGUUGUCUUUCUUCCUGUGAACUCUGAAAAUUUGGCACAGGUCUCAGUUAAUUUAAAAGUUUAUUUUGCCAAGAUUGAGGAUGUCCCCAUGACACAGCCUCAGGAGGUCCUGACAACAUGUGCUCAAGGUGGCUGGGGUACAGCUUAGUUUUAUACAUUUUAGGGAGACACGAGACAUCAAUCAAUAUAUAUAAGAAGUACAGUCAAUAUAUGUAAAAAGACAGGUGAGACAGGAAGGGUUGCAUUAUUUUGAGCUUCUGCUUAGUCCUUCCAAAAGAGGCAAUCAGCUAUGCAUCUCAGUGAGCAGAGGGGUGACUUUGAAUAGAAUGGGAGGCAGAUUUGCCCUAAGCAGUUCCCAGCAUAACUUUUUCCCUUUAGCUUAGUGAUUUGGGGGCCUCAAGAUUUGUUUUCCUUUCACAUUUACCCUCUUUUCUUUUUAAAAAUAUUUUGGAGAUGGCAUUUAACUAGAAAAUUAGUCUCUGGUCUCAGGUUUCACCUGAUCUUUCAUGGCUAGGAUGGUUUAUUCCUAGAAGAGCAAAUAGUGGAAGAAGAAGGGAGAAAAACAACAAACAAAAGAACACUCCUGGAAAAUCAAUAUAGGCCCCACUACUCUGAAGUCUAUAAAUCAGUAGCAGGUAUGAAAGUGGCUUAUGCAUGUAAAUAGGUGGCUGUUAUUUUCUUCUGAACUUUAAGUUGUCUAGUUUCAGUUUGCAGGGCUUUAAGAAAGCACAGCUUGGUUUUCAGUGACUCCCAGUUAGGAAAAAUUGAAAAAAAAAAAAAAAAAGAAGGAAAAAAAAGAAAAAAAAAAUUGAAAACAUUAUUUUGAAGACUUGUAGUCAAGAGAAAAUUAGAAUUUAGCCCAAACUGUAGAAAUAAUAAAAAUUGAAAAACAUUAGACAAGACUAGAAUCUAACAACAGGUGUACAAUUGUUUUUGAAACAUAAUUUUUCUCUCUCCAGUUUCCCAUUUUUGCUAAAGACAAAUCAUGGUAGGAUUGGUUUGCUUUAUUAUACUUGGCCUAAUUACUUAUAUACAGUGCAAAAAAAAUUAUUUUUUACAUAGGCUUUAUAUUGGCUUUGAUGGAACCUUGUUCCAUAGAAGGAAUACCAGAUAAGAUGUUUUUAAAGCAGAGCCCAGCCAUGGAUUUGUGCCAUCAAAUACCUGUGAGUUGGGUGAAUUUUCUCUCCUCUUGAGGUUCCAAGAUAAACCGGGGGCCUCUACGCCUGUUAGAAGUGACAUUCUUUACUUACCACAGGUCAGAAACCCUGUACAGGGACUGUGUACACAAAAUAUGAGGCCAAUUUUUUCAAGGGCUUUAUUGGCUCCAUAAGUCAAGUUUGAUUCCUUAAACGAAAGCACACCAUUCCAGUCAAAGCCUUGGUAAAAUAAGCAGUUUCUCCAAUUGUGGUCUGUUAUUAAUGAAAACAGAUUCUUAUUGCACUUAUGCAAAUAACUGUAUUGCCAUGAGUUAAGAAUACUUACAAAUAGUUUCCAAAUUCUGGAGAAAUCAGCUAAAGAGAAACAAAUAUGCUCCAAACUUUGUUUAUGGGAGUAUACUAAAUUGUUAAAAGCUGCCAAUAGCUCAAAAGAAAAGUUUUAAGACUCUGAAAAGCAAAACAAAAGAUCAGCAACAUUUUAAGCAAAAAGUCAAAAAGAUCAGUUCAGUCCAUGCAGUUAAUUCCUGUUCUGCUUGAUACUCAUGAAUAUUUUAUAGCUCUCCAUGAGUCCUGAAAGUUUUUCCUCUAUUCUGAUGUCACAAUCUCCAAAGUUAUCAGAAACCUGCAUUCAAGAGCACCUGUUAGAGUUUUGUAGCUGAUUAUAAAGCCACCUUCUAAAGAGGACCAAAACAAGACAAAAAUUGUCCAUGGAUGACAAAAAGUUUUAGGACAGCCAUAGUCAAAAACACAGUUGAAAAGGACAUUUGUUACCUCUGCGGCACACAAUAAUUUUAACAUAACAAUUAUGAUUAUUACUGAUAAUGUACACUGAGUUAUAUAGAAUUAUAGGAAUUUCCCAUAAUUUUGGAACACAUACUAAUAACAUAUUUUAAAAAUGCAGCCCUCAAAAACCCAACACCAUUUCAUAUUUGACAAUGCUUCCUAUAUGAUUUUUGUACCAAAUAAGCCAAAUUAUGUUAUUUUCUGAACUUUAGGGAACCUAAUAUGUUAAAGCUUUAAUUAGGUCAGAAAAAGACAUAAUUUAUAAUUUGAUUUUGGAAAGUUUGUCAAAUAUCAAAGGUUUUAAACAUUUGAUAUCAUAAAAUAGGAUCACAGGUCAUUGUAAAAUAAGUCAUUCAUUUAACCAAAGUGAUAACUUCUGGACUUUAAAAAAAAGGCAAGAACCUUUAUUCUUUGAGAAGAGACUUAAUUUUCCAAACAAUAAGCCCUAAUAAAAACAGCAUGAAUCCAAUUAAAUUUGUUUUUCAAAAUUUUAUAAACAAUCUAUAAAAUUUUUAAUCUUGAACAUAAGAUAUAGCUUCCAUAGCACUUUAUAAUCUUUAUGACCUUCACUAAGGAGUUGGUUAAUGCUUUGAGAAAACUUUGUUAAUCUGACACAGGGGCCCAUAUGCUGGUCUUCCAUCAGUGUGCCUUUGACAUUAAUGAUUCAUCUAUAAAGAAGCUUAACUUAUUUUAUCUUUCAAAAUUGGCCCUUACAAUAUUGCGUGUGUGCCCAUCUCUUCUGUGAUAGUCCCUGGGCCUUGAGGAGUUGAAAUAGCUUUAAUUUCUUGCCCUGUGUCGCAGAAAUGCAGUUUAUUUUGACUGGCAUCUUCUACAGGGCCUGAAGAUGAGGCUUUAAUUGCUGUUGGUGUUUAAGAUUUAGCAAGACUUUGUGUCCUUUUUAGAUCCAGGAGUCAAAACCCUGUAACUCAAUGUCACAAGGACUUUAAAAGAACAUACAGGAAAAUACAUGGAUAUAAUAACCUUAAAAAAAUUUUUUUUUUUAAUCUCAGGUUUUUUUCCCUAAGCAAACCAGAACUUAAUAUUUGGACUUUCUGAUUUGUCCUGAAUAUGCCUCCUUUUUAAACAACCAGUCAUUUUAUUUUAGGACUGAAGUUUACCAUGUAAGAUUCUUUCUCAUAUAAAAUUAUUUCUCUUUAAGCUUUCUUACCACACACACACAAAAAUACCUCUUUAUUUUUAUAACUUUACAUCUCUUUUUAUUUCAUGGUUCCUUUUACCUUGUUUUAUAUAUAACCUUUAAAUAAGCUUCGAAUUAGACAAAAAUUUUUCACCUUUUUUUUUUUAAAAAGUCACACUUUUUUUUGCAAGAAUAUUUUCCUACAAUAUAUAUUUAUUGGAAAAUACCCAAAUAAUGAAAUAUAUAUUAUUUAAUUUAAUAUAACUUUAUAUUCUAAAUUAUGAAAUUAUGACCAGUUUUCUACAAGUAUUUAUCCCAUUACAUUUAUCUAUUUUAUUUUAAUUGUCUACCUAGAUUAUUUAUGAAAACUGUGAUAGUCAUGAAUUUAAAGUUAUGAAACUGCCAUUGCAAAAUUAUGUAUAACUGAGACAGUGAAAAUAAGAUUUGACCUAAUUGACUCCAACCUGCUCUUAACCUCCAAGCUAUCCUUGUUCAUGCCUAGGCAUAGGCCAAACUAACUUCGGGAGCAACUUAGUCUAUAGUUUAGCUUUGAAACAAAAAUGAUAACAGUCCUUUCCCAAAACAAACUUCCUUAUUGCCUGUGGACUAGACUGCCUAAAGCCACAGGAUUAGAAAUUAUGGUAAUCUUACUAAAUUCAAGAUGCAGCUAUUUUCAUUAAACCCAUAUCAAUGUCUUACUUAUUAAAAAUUACACAAACAAAAAUCAUUCUGUUUUGGACUGGUUUUAUAGUUUCGUAAUCCCAUGCCAAAUUUUGACACCUUAUAGCAUUUGGCAGGGAUAAGUAUGGAAUUGCUUGAUUAAUAAAUGCAAAACAAAAACUGUAUGCUGGCAAUUCUUAAGACAUUUCUAAUAUUACUUUACCAAUAAUUUUAAAGCUAGCUUAUUUGUUAAAGAUUUUAUUUAAGUUACAUAAACUUGAAAAAGCAUUUGACUAGUCUAUUUUUUAGUAUCUGAUUUAAGAGCUUUUAUUUUCCUUUAAGCCAAUUGAUUAGAGCUCUUUUAUAUAUUUUUAGUAGUGAAACAUUUUGUACACAGCGCAUAAAUACAUACAAAGAUGUAUUAGGCAUGCCGAUGGAAGUACAUUUUAUAGAUUUAUAAAGACCCCGCUCUUUUUUUUUCCUAUCUUAGACUUUCAGAUUCUUGAUAGCCUGUUUCACAACCCUAGGCAGUUGUCAGCUAAAUAGCCUUAAAUUUGCACACUAAAGGAAACAACUCAGGUGAAAAUCAAAUAGCAAAAUUUACAUCAUAAGGUACAGAGAGAAAGAGUCUGGUGGUCCUAGAGGGAGAUGUUUUUUAUUUUAUUUUGAGCCAAAUGAAACAUAAAAUUAAACUACACUCUUUCUUAAAAACUUAACAGUAGCCUCUGUUGCAAUAACUAUUUUAGUAAAAAAGAAAAAAAAAAUCAGGUGAAAACAGAAUUCAGUCAACUGAGAAGAAAAAGAAAAAAAAACUUUUGCUCAAAAAAAAAAAAAGACAAGGUCUUAGGAGAGAAAAACAAACAAAAAGCAAAAACUUGAAGACCUUUCAAAUACAAAGAUGCAUACAUGCACACAUACAUACACACAUCUUGGAUGGCCUUUUAAUUAAGUUGAUUUUUAACAUUGAGCUCCUUUAAAAAUGUUUUUUAAAUCUUAUUACCAUAUUUCAACUAGGACAAAAUGCUGCUAAACUAACAAUGAUCACACAAAAAUAUACUAUUUCUGAGCGCUCUAAGUAUUAAGAAGAAAUUAACACCAGCUGGUUGUUAAAUGCUAACUUUAGUCAUUUAAAAGGAGUUUGCAAGAUAGAAUCCCAAACCAGUUUCCUACCUAGUGAUGGGUCUCAGGCUGUAGACUGCUCUCUACCACCCUAGAAGCAGGAAAAAACAACCACAACAAAAAACCAAGCUCAUUUUCUCUGUUGCAAGCGAGCUCAAACUCCUUGAAGGAGUUACCUGCCUUUCAACGUCAUGGAAGCAAGAAAACUUGCCUUCCUUGUGUUGGGAGCAAGUAAAACUCAAAAGAAAAAGAGGAGUUGUACAGCAAAAUAAAGUUGGGGUCAUGACUGAAUUUGGGGAAAUCAGGGAUUCUCUGGAGUGGGUGCCCUCAGACCUUAGCAAAUUGUUCUUUCGGUUUGAGCCAUAAAGUUAGCUCCUGCUGGUAUCAAGCACCAAUAGGAGACUUGUCAAAGGUCAGGGCCAUCUCCACUAAGAAUCCCUCCAUGGUUACCAAAAUGUGAACCCUGAAAAUUUGAGUAGAAAGCUUAUUUUGCCAAGGUUGAGGAUGUGCCUGUAACGCAGCCUCAGAAAGUCCUGACCUUGUGCCUAAGGUGAUGUAGCACAGCUUAGUUUUAUACAUUUUAGGAGACAUGAGGCUUCAGUCAAUAUAUGUAAGAAGUACAUUGGUUCGGUCUGGAAAGGCGGGACAACUUGAAGUGAAGGUAGGAAGACUUGAAGCAGGGAGGGGGCUCCCAGGUCGCAGAUAGGUGACGGAGGGAGGGUUACACUCUUUUGAGUUUCUUUUGAGUCUUUCCAAAGGAGGCAAUCAGAUAUGCAUCUAUCUCAGUGAGCAGAGGAGUGACUUUGAACAGAAUGGAAGGCAAGUUUGCCCUAAGCAGUUCCCAGCUUGACUUUUGCCUUUAGCUUAGUGAUUUGGGGACCCCAACUUUUAUUUUCCUUUCACAUCCCCAACCCUUCUACUUCAUGUUUUGUAUUUGUUUGUUUUGGUUUUAAACACACAAAUUGAGAAAUAUAUUUUUUUCUGAUUUUAAAGUUUGAGCGAGCAUAGGAAACCUUCUUAGGUACUAGAAAUAUUCUAUAUUUUAAUCAGUGUGAUGGUUACAUGAGUGCAUGUACAUGCAAAAAAUUUUAAAAAUUAAGGGAACAUCAACAAAUUAGGAUCAAAUUGUGAUCGCUGAUUCCAGUCCUAUCCCAACAGUCAGUGUAAAAAAGAAACUUACUUGAAGACGUUUUCACAGUAAAUUUUUGCCAGGCUGGAGACUAGAUUAGUGAAUUGAAUGUAACCUAAUCUGGAGGUUCUCAGAGAAGCAAACUUAUCAUUUGCAACACGGGGCCUGUUUUUCUGCAUUAAUCAUCACUCUAGGUUUACUUGAUAGGAAAGAGGCCUUCCUGGGGGAAGAUAAAUGAGUGUGUGUUUCUUCCAAAGGCAAGGCUCUGAAUGAACGGGCGAUAUUGCUUCAUUGCAAAUUCUCAGGAGUCACAUGUGGCUAGUGGCAGUUGUAUUGGACGACAUGGUGUCAGAAGAUUAGCAGGAACCAGAUCCUUCUUAGAAAUUCCUAAGGCUCAAUGUUGUGUGGAAGAUUCUGAGAAAGAAAAUAGUUUCCGAUCUUUGGGAUUCCCCUGAGAUGGUCCAAUCUGCAAAAAGUUCAUUGCCAUUUCCAUCAAGGACACUGAGAACAAGAGUCUUAUCCGCAUUGAAUCCUGGGAAUUGAGAAGCUUCAGCAGGGCUUCCGCUGGAACUAGGAUGAGGAUGUGGACACCCCCAACCUGGACCAUCUGGCCGAGGAGGGCGUCAAGGCCAAGUACCUCAUGCCACCCCUUGUCACAAUGACCUCCCCGUCCCACUUCACUGCCAUCACAGGAAUCCCAGUGGCCACUAAAACAGAGGGAUUCCAACCUAAAAAGGAGGAAAAGGAGGCUGCUGAAAAGCAAAGGACUCUGUGUAAGAAUCAUAAUAGCGGAGGUGGAGCCAAGAUGGCAGAAUAGGAACAGCUCCAGUCUACAGUUCCCGGAGUGAGCGACGCAGAAGACAGGUGAUUUCUGCAUUUCCAACUGAGGUACUGGGUUCAUCUCACUGGGGAGUGUCAGAAAGUGGGUGCAGGACACCUGGUGCAGUGCAGUGAGCAUGAGUCCAAGCAGGGCGAGGCAUUGCCUCACCGAGGAAGUGCAAGGGGUCAGAGAAUUCCCUUUCCAGGUCAAAGAAAUGGGUCACAGACGGCACCUGGAAAAUCGGGUCACUUCCACCCUAAUACUGCACUUUUCCAAUGGUCUUAGCAAAUGGCACACCAGGAGAUUAUAUCCCAUGCCUGGCUCAGAGGGCCCUACACCCAUGGAGCCUCACUCAUUGCUAGCACAGCAGUCUGAGAUCAAACUGCAAGGUGACAGCAAGGCUGGGGGAGGGGCGCCUGCCAUUGCCUAGGCUUCAGUAGGUAAACAAAGCAGCUGGGAAGCUCCAACUGGGUGGAGCCCAACACAGCUCAAGGAGGCCUGCCUGCAUCUGUAGACUGCACCUCUAAGGGCAGGGCACUGGCAAACAAAAGACAGCAGAAUCCUCUGCAGACUUAAAUAUCCCUGUCUGACAGCUUUGAAGAGAGUAGUGGUUCUCCCAGCACACAGCUGGAGAUCUGAGAAUGGACAGACUGCCUCCUCAAGUGGGUCCCUGACCCCCGAGUAGCCUAACUGGGAGGCACCCCACAGUAGGGGCAGACUGACACCUCACAUGGCCGGGUACUCCUCUGAGACAAAACUUGCAGAGGAACAAUCAGGCAGCAACAUUUCCUGCUCACCAAUAUCUGCUGUUCUGCAGCCUCCACUGCUGAUACCCAGGCAAACUCCAACAGACAUGCAGCUGAGGGUCCUGACUCUCAGAAGGAAAACUAACAAACAGAAAGGACUUCCACACUAAAACCCCAUCUGUACGUCACCAUCAUCAAAGAC
rnacentral:lncRNA from 10 species